CGGCGCCGUGGGACAGGCCGUUGCUCCCGUGACCGUUGGAGCCGUUCGUCCCGUGGCCGUUGGUGCCGUGGCCGUUGGUGCCGUGCCCGUUGCUGCCGU
rnacentral:tRNA from 1 species